rnacentral:rRNA from 1 species
CCCAGACAGCCAGGAUGUUGGCUUAGAAGCAGCCAUCAUUUAAAGAAAGCGUAAUAGCUCACUGGUCGAGUCGGCCUGCGCGGAAGAUGUAACGGGGCUAAACCAUGCACCGAAGCUGCGGCAGCGACACUGUGUGUUGUUGGGUAGGGGAGCGUUCUGUAAGCCUGUGAAGGUGGCCUGUGAGGGUUGCUGGAGGUAUCAGAAGUGCGAAUGCUGACAUAAGUAACGAUAAAGCGGGUGAAAAGCCCGCUCGCCGGAAGACCAAGGGUUCCUGUCCAACGUUAAUCGGGGCAGGGUGAGUCGACCCCUAAGGCGAGGCCGAAAGGCGUAGUCGAUGGGAAACGGGUUAAUAUUCCCGUACUUGGUGUUACUGCGAAGGGGGGACGGAGAAGGCUAUGUUGGCCGGGCGACGGUUGUCCCGGUUUAAGCGUGUAGGUGUGUGUUCCAGGUAAAUCCGGUUCACUUUAACACUGAGGCGUGAUGACGAGGCACUACGGUGCUGAAGCAACAAAUGCCCUGCUUCCAGGAAAAGCCUCUAAGCAUCAGGUAACAUCAAAUCGUACCCCAAACCGACACAGGUGGUCAGGUAGAGAAUACCAAGGCGCUUGAGAGAACUCGGGUGAAGGAACUAGGCAAAAUGGUGCCGUAACUUCGGGAGAAGGCACGCUGACAUGUAGGUGAAGUGAUUUACUCAUGGAGCUGAAGUCAGUCGAAGAUACCAGCUGGCUGCAACUGUUUAUUAAAAACACAGCACUGUGCAAACACGAAAGUGGACGUAUACGGUGUGACGCCUGCCCGGUGCCGGAAGGUUAAUUGAUGGGG